GAAAUUUUAGUUUAAAUAAAAAAUAAUUCAGUUACAAUGAAGAGUUUAAUAGGAGUUAAAAUUUUA
rnacentral:tRNA from 1 species